rnacentral:misc_RNA from 1 species
AUGCUAACAUGAUUUUGGAAGAUAUAUUUUUGGGAUUUGAGAAAAUACGCUACAAAAAUAUUUUUAAAUUUUCUUUUAUUUUGGCUUUGUUAAUGAGUCGAAGUCAAUUUGUUAAUCAACAUUCUGAGAAGGCUAAUUACAUCGUUUUAUGGCUUUUAUUUGAAGUUUUGCUGUUAAGGAAUUGUGUCUGCUGCAUUUACUGAUAGAGCUAUUAUACAUGUUGAAAUUAUAUUUAUAUAGUAGUUGAAUUGCUUCAAUUUGUCACCCCUGUUAUUUGAUUUGGGAAUGCAGGAGAGCAUGGAGCAGCG